rnacentral:rRNA from 1 species
CAGUUAAAAAGCUCGUAGUUGGAUUUCUGUGGGGACGGAGCGGCCGGCCGCACAUCGCGGUUCGAGCUAGCGCUUUCCCUACAUCCUGCCGCGAACCGUGCUACCAUUAGUUUGGUGGCGCUGGGGAUCGGCUCGAUUACUUUGAGAAAAAUAGAGUGUUCAAAGCAGGCCACACGCCUUGAAUAAGUUAGCAUGGAAUAAUAACUAAGGACUUCGGUUCUAUUUUGUUGGUGUUCGGGACUGAAGUAAUGAUUGAUAGGGACAGUUGGGGCGGUCAGUAUUCCAAAGCGAGAGGUGAAAUUCUUAGACCUUCGGAAGACUAACAGCUGCGAAAGCGUUCCGCAAGGAUGUUCCCUUUGAUCAAGAACGAAAGUUGGGGGAUCGAAGACGAUCAGAUACCGUCGUAGUCUCAACUACAAACUAUACCAGCUAGGGAUCGGCCAACGUUAUUUAAUACCGACUUGGUCGGCACCUUAUGAGAAAUCAAAGCAUCUGGGUUCCGGGGGGAGUAUGGUCGCAAGGCUGAAACUUAAAGGAAUUGACGGAAGGGCACCACCAGCCGUGGAGCCUGUGGCUUAAUUUGACUCAACACGGGAAAACUUACCAGGUCCAGACAUAGUAAGGAUUGACAGAUUGAUAGCUCU